UAUCGUGUUCAUUGAAACACCAAUAUACCUGUCAAUAUUGUGUUUCUCAAGAUUAAAAACAUGAUGGGAUUUUUCUUUGUUCAAAACUUCGUGACAAAUUCAACAUGAUGCGUAUAUACACAUAAGUUGCUUCACUGUUCUUCUGCAAUCAAACAUUUCUUAAGAUUUUUAAGGUUCGUAAAAUGUCGUUUGAGAACAAUCUAAUAUGAGCAUACACAGCAUCGCUAAUGAAAUAGCUUCAUUAAGAUCGCUUUACAUUUCAAUUUUACUACGAUAUCAUACUCAGGCAAAAGCGAAAUUAUGCUCCUGAACAAUUGCACGACGAGAAAGAAAAUUUAAAAAAUACACACAAGAAACACGUAUAUUAUAUUUACAAAAAAUAUGUUACAUUUCGUACUCAAAUGCUGACGAAAUGCUUCAAACUCAAUUAUCCACACCUCCAUUACCUUUUCCGAAUGGUAAGAAAAUCUGAGUACAAGUAGCAGUGUAGGCAUAGGAUGUGGGGUUAUACGAGGUACCAUCAGGACCGAUGAAAUCAAAAUCAAAUCCACCUUUACCAGCUCCAUUGGCAACGACAAAUCUGAUGGGUAUAAAGGAACCUGCAGUUAAGGAACCCAUACUAAACGAAGCAAUGCCGGUUUUGCCAGUAGUAAUAUGCCAGUAAGCAUAUGAAUCGUAAUUUUUGUUGGACCAUCCGGAAAUAGCCUUACUACCGGCCCAGCCGUAAAAUACAUCAUCAACAUUGGUGAUCGCGAGAGUAAACAACCCUGAAACAGGAACUCGGAAAAAGAAUUGAUAAAUAACAACCUUACAAGUGGAAGUAGUAUUACCCAUAACGGUAGCGUUUGGCGGAUACGCAGGAAGAUCAUAAGACGAAGUCCAUUGGGGUAAAUCAGCUGGUGAAGUAAGGACACCAGUGAAUAAAGGAGAGGAUUGAUCAAGGUCGCUGGAUCCAAAAUAAGCGGGCUUGGUAAAAGCAGUAACAUUGGUUAUACCGUUACUGGCAUAAAAUUAACUUUUUGAAGAUGCAAUGGUAUAGUUAUAAACUGCAUAUUGCAACCCCCGAAUGCCACUACAUACUGCUGUAGGAAUAACAACAACUGUUGAAGCAGCAGAGCUAGCAGAACUGUAAGUAACAGUAGUAGGAACCGUACCUGAAUAAAUAGUGUUUGGCCCAGCCUUAACAA